rnacentral:rRNA from 1 species
GACGAACGCUGGCGGCGUGCUUAACACAUGCAAGUCGAACGGAAAGGCCCUGCUUUUGUGGGGUGCUCGAGUGGCGAACGGGUGAGUAACACGUGAGUAACCUGCCCUUGACUUUAGGAUAACUUCAGGAAACUGGGGCUAAUACCGGAUAGGAGCUCCUGCUGCUUGGUGGGGGUUGGAAAGUUUCGGCGGUUUGGGAUGGACUCGCGGCUUAUCAGCUUGUUGGUGGGGUAGUGGAUUACCAAGGCUUUGAGCGGUAGCCGGCCUGGGUGGGUGACCGGACACGUUGGGACUGAGAUGCGGCACAGACUACUACGGGAGGCGGGAGUGGGGAAUAUAGCACAAUGGGAGGAAGCCUGAUGCAGCAAAGCCGCGUGGGGGAUGACGGGCAUCGAGUUGUAAACCGCUUUCGCCUGUGACGAAGAGUGAGUGACGGUAAUGAGUAAAGAAGCACCGGCUAACUACGUG